GAUGAACGCUAGCGGCGUGCCUAACGCAUGCAAGUCGAACGGGAUAGCUUUUGCUUGCAGAGGCUUGAGAGUGGCGAACGGGUGAGUAACACGUAGGUGACGUGCCCUGAAGAGGGGGACAACAGGUGGAAACGCCUGCUAAUACCCCAUAGGUUACGGGGAUCAAGACCUGUAACGAAAACUGAGGUGCUUCAGGAGCGGCCUGCGGUCCAUCAGCUAGUUGGUGAGGUAACGGCUCACCAAGGCGAAGACGGAUAGGGGGCGUGAGAGCGUGACCCCCCACACUGGUACUGACACACGGACCAGAUACCUACGGGUAGCAGCAGCGAGGAAUAUUGCGCAAUGGAGGAAACUCUGACGCAGCAACGCCGCGUGAAGGACGAAGGCCUUCGGGUCGUAAACUUCUUUUCUGAGGGAAGAGAAAGGACGGUACCUCAGGAAUAAGGCCCGGCUAACUACGUG
rnacentral:rRNA from 1 species